rnacentral:rRNA from 1 species
GUCCACGCCGUAAACGAUGGAUACUAGCUGUUCGGAGCAAUCUGAGUGGCUAAGCGAAAGUGAUAAGUAUCCCACCUGGGGAGUACGCACGCAAGUGUGAAACUCAAAGGAAUUGACGGGGGCCCCGCACAAGCGGUGGAGCAUGUGGUUUAAUUCGAUGAUACGCGAGGAACCUUACCAGGGCUUAAAUGUAGAUUGACAGGUCUAGAAACAGACUUUUCUCGGACAAUUUACAAGGUGCUGCAUGGUUGUCGU